rnacentral:tRNA from 3 species
GCGGGUGUAGUUCAGUGGUAGAACAUGUGCUUCCCAAGCACAAUACGCGGGUUCGAUUCCCGCCACCCGCU